rnacentral:piRNA from 1 species
UCCUAGUUUAUGAAUAACCUGCCUCUUAUU